GGAUAUAGCUCAGUUGGUAGAGUGCUUGCCUUACCUGUGCAAGGCCCUGGGUUCAAUCCCCAGCACCA
rnacentral:tRNA from 1 species